rnacentral:rRNA from 1 species
GCCGUGGGUGCCCCGCGAGGGGAGCCCUAGCACAGGUGCUGCAUGGCCGUCGUCAGCUCGUGCCGUGAGGUGUUGGGUUAAGUCCCGUAACGAGCGCAACCCUUGUCCUUAGUUACCAGCACGUAAUGGUGGGAACUCUAAGGAGACUGCCGGUGACAAACCGGAGGAAGGUGGGGAUGACGUCAAGUCAUCAUGGCCCUUACGGCCAGGGCUACACACGUGCUACAAUGGUCGGUACAAAAGGGUUGCCAAGCCGCGAGGUGGAGCUAAUCCCAUAAAACCGAUCGUAGUCCGGAUCGCAGUCUGCAACUCGACUGCGUGAAGUCGGAAUCGCUAGUAAUCGUGAAUCAGAAUGUCACGGUGAAUACGUUCCCGGGCCUU